AGCGAACGCUGGCGGCAGGCCUAAUACAUGCAAGUCGAGCGGCCGUAGCAAUACGGCAGCGGCAGACGGGAGAGUAACACGUGGUAACGUACGUUUAGGUUCGGAACAACCCAGGGAAACUUGGGCUAAUACCUGAUAAGUCCGUAAGGAGAAAGCUUUAGCUCCGAAAGAUGGGCCCGCGUCUGAUUAGCUCGUUGGUGAGGUAACGGCUCACCAAGACGACGAUCAGUAGCUGGUCUGAGAGGAUGAUCAGCCUCCCUGGGACUGAGACACGGCUCGGCAUCCUUCGGGAGGCAGCAGUAGCGAAUAUUGGACAAUGGGCGCAAGCCUAAUCCACCCAUGCCGCGUGAGUGAUGAAGGCCCGAGGGGUGUAAAGCUUGUUCGGCGGGGAAGAUAAUGACGGUACCCGCAGAAGAAGCCCCGGCUAACUUCGUGCCAGCAGCCGCCGUAA
rnacentral:rRNA from 1 species